AAGUACGUAAUAUUAUGAGUAAAUAUAAGUAAUAUUUUCAUCAAAAUCCAGAUACAAUGAAGUUACUUGAUAAAAGGAUGCUGUUUUAAUUGAAGUUACAUCUUCUAAAUUAUUCCAAUUGUACACAUUUUUGCAGCUAUUUUUGCAGCGUCAGUACAUCUCUGAAGGUCCAGAAUUGAAGACUCCGGCUCUCGCCAACAAUUGGCUGUAAUUGCCACAUUUAAGGUGCAGAGUUUUAUUUGACAUAAUGCCCUUCUGAGGGUGAAGUCAAUUUCCCUACACGGUUGUCAAAGAGUUGAGAUAAGGAUUUUUGCAGCGGGAACACUUCACAGUCAAUGUACUGUAGUUUCCAGUUUCACCUCUGUAAUUCUCGUAUUGAUUUCAACUUAAUUAUUGUCCUCCUAGGAGACAAAAUCCAUCUGGUGCUUAAUGAGUGCGCUUCAUGUGCAAAUGGGCUCCGGGACGUCAAUGUGAGAAAUGAUUUCACCAAUAGCUUUCAAUUUCUAGAAAGAAGCUCCCAACAACAAGAGGUAGAAUAACUAACCAGAAGUAGGGAGAGCUUGUGCCAAAAAUCAACACUGUUGUUAUUUUGAGUGAAAGCUGCAAACUAAAUUAAUGGAAAAGGUUACAGCUGACAGUUAAACCCUGUAUUGACAUCAUUUCUUUCUGUGAGGGUUUUCUUUGUUUGUUCAGAUUGAGGUGGAUUCCCCAAUCUGAAGCAAUCGAGCAAUCGCGGCAGUUACAUCAUUUACAAACACACAGACUUCUAUAAGCCGCCUCUAAACUGUAUAUACUUAUACACACAAAUAUAUAUAUAUAUAUAUAUAUAUAUAUAUAUAUAUAUAUAUAUAUAUACAUGUAUAGGCUGUCCACAGUGGUGUACGUGGCGGUUUAGGAGUAAAACCUAGGCUGUACCUUGUGUUGUCUGGGCUGCCCUGUUUUGCAGUAAUUCCAUGAGUUAAAUAGAUGGAUCAAAAUGUGUCUCGUUAUAAGCAAAUUGCUUUAAUUUUUAUUUACUGAAAUUGUCAGUAUAUGUAGUAGUUACCUGUGUAGAGUAGCAGCCACAUUGGUGUAGGCUAAUGAGGAUCUAAAUGAAUACAUUAAUAAAUCAUUGAAGAGGCAAAUCCAUUUUUUACCUUCUAUUUGCUCUUGUCGGGUGUUCAACUCACAUUAAAUGGAAGACAAAACCAACUCAAAGAGGCACCGUCUUGAAACUGAUACUGCUGUCUUUAGGCUUGUCUGAUAGUUCUAUCCGUGUUUGCUGAGGCAGAAGAUGAGCGAUGAAGAAAUCCGCCUCCAGCCCAAACACGUCAUUCUUCUGUCCGUAAAUGUAAACAACGAUUUAGUUGCAGAGCAAUGCUCUACUUUUACAGGAUGAACUAAAUCAAAUCUGUAGCAGGCAGCAGUAACUGUAACGGAAUGUCCCCACAGCACAAAGCGCCUCCUUUGAGCUGAUGGAUUGUAUUUCAACAUAUCACUCAUUGUCGCAGCACUUCUUUCUGCUGAAGCUGCUCGUGCUGUACGAGGCGCGGCGGCCUGGAGGUGACACAAAGCGCUGACUUUUCCAGGCCAUGUUUACUUGAUCCCCCCCCCCGCACGGAAAAAUCCCACUGAACUUUAAAGCAGACCGGCUUUUAAAAGAUAUUCCACGGUCAAAUCGCCGAGUCUCUAACUCUGACUCUUAAUGUCUCUGAAAGAGAAAAUAACUUCAACGUAACAAAACAAUGAAGCCGCCGGUCGGAUGUCAGAUUGAGUACAGUGUGUUUCAACAAGUUGCAAUCAUUGUGUGGGGGUCAUUGAUUGAAGGACUCGCUACGGCUGCUCCUGCAUGUUGCCUUCGCUCCAGUCUCUCUAAUUGUCUCUCUGGUUGCCACUCAAGCAGAACCAUCCGUCCUUUUUAAUUACCUCGGCAAUGAGAAAAAUUACACAAAAACCAAACGUGUCACGCCAGAGACCUUCCGCGUUAACGCACAAACGUGCGGAUCAAUAGCCCAUCGGCAAACUCUUACAGAUCAUUGACUCCACUGGUAAGAUGCGGUUGAUGAAGACUGACAAUAGCUCGACACAUCAAUGGGUUUUUACUGCCUGUCCGGCAGUGGAAUGGAAUAUCGAAAGUGGGAUGAUGUAUUGUAGAGCGAAUAUGCUGUGAGAGGCGCAUUAACAACGGAGCUGCUGGUCUGUGAGACUUUAGCCUCUCAAAAUGUCAACAUUUUCAGAGGGCACAAUAACAUUUUUGAGUUGGUUGAAGGUAGUUUUGAAACAGUUUCAUCGGUCUGAGCUAAUAUCAUUUUAUCAGCCCGCAGAGAAGGCGUGAAAAUCAUUGAACGGCAGUGAAAACGCUGCUGUCCCAUAAGAGAGCGUGUUACAGCUGAAAAUGGGUCAUGUAACUGAGGGCAGGAUAGUAAUUGUGUAUUUGUUCUUUUCUUAUUUCAUUCUCAUUUGUUCUGUUAUAUUAUUACACCCUCAACAUUUCUAGUACUUGUUUCUAAAUGUGUAACCGUAUGUGUGUGUAGGCAAUUUCUUUUUGUACGUAGAAAAAUCUCUUUAGCAAUAAAAGAGCUUCUCACUGAGAAGAAAACAAACAAGUAUGUGUUUCUCUGUGAGACAGAGUAUUGGGUGGAUGUCGUGCACCUUUGUAAAGUGCAGUAGAUGUUUUACUGGUAAAGUGUGGAGGAAGCGAUAAGCAGAGCGAGAACUAAAGAAGUCUGUCCAAAAGAUAAAAAAUGGAUAAAACAACCGCUGAAGCGAGUUCAACAAAUUAAACCCACGAUUCCAAAUUCAUGUCAUUUUACCGUCUCUACCUCACCUAGACUGUGAGCUACCACCUGCUCAGAUAAUCACACACACAGGGUUUAUUGAACAGGUGAAAGACUACAUAAGCUCUUAUUAAAAAGGCCCAAUUCAGUAGCUCUGCUCCGUGUUGGCACGUUGUAAAAUAACAAGGCAAAUUCAAUUCACAUAACAGCGUUUUCCUCUCCCCCUGGAAGCUGCUCCUUCUCCGUUUCGUUAAUUGUGUCCCUCGCUUUUUAAAGUCAUCUCUCUCUUGAUCUCAGUGUUUUUGUGUCUGUGUGUUGUUCGUCUAAUGCUUCUUUUAAUUAUUGAUGGAUGCCCUGGAUUUAAUCAUUUAUAUAUUGAAAAGCCAAUUUUCAGGGAAUAUGAAAUACAUUAAACAUGCACAGCGUUUCAUUUUCUCAUCGUACAAAGAGGAGCAGGGAGCAUAAGCAAAGCUCCUUUACUGGAGUGAAGUGCACACACAAAAGCAAUGGUCACUUAUCUUAAGAUUAAUAUGGAGGCUGCUUCAAAACAUAACAGCACGCUGGUCGUGUGCCAGCCUGACUUUCUAGCCUCAAAUGUGAAGUUCACAUGUGCCGCUGGAUACAGUAUUUCUGAAGAUGCUGGAACAGCCUGUUGGCUCUUUAUUAAUUAAUAAAACAAAAUUCCCCAGAUCACAGCCAUUACAUCUUUAAUAAGAGAGAAGAAGAAGGACACGCUAGCACAAUGGAAGACAAAAGACACGGAAGAAAAUGGGCCUCGUUGCAACAAGAGGCACAGGAAAGUUUCUUAUGGGUCGGCAGUGGGCAUGGCUCUGAAAAAACACAUGCUGAUUAAACCUGCUGUUUUUUGUUAUUUACUGCUGUUCCCCGGAGACGCCAAACGACCACUCGGUUUUUCUCAGGGAAACUGUUGGGACGGACAGGGAAAGCGGGGCAUUUUGCGUCUUUGGCAGCAAACGAGUGGAAAACGAAAUCUAGAGGAACUGAAGCACCCUUUGGCACAACAGAUGCGGCCCAAAUUGAAGCUAAUAACCACCAUGUGUCACCCGAACACAAACAGUGAUGUCACCACACACGCAAAACAAGACGGAAAUGGAAUGAAACCUGCUACGAGUCCCAGGUCAAUUAUGUUGAUGUAAAUCACAAAUUCUACUUUAAAACAUAAAAUACACUGUGCCCUUGCUGACUAAAAUAAAUGGAGAAAUCUUUCAUAAACAGUAGCUGUAAAAUGAAAUCAAAUAAUCUUUCUUGUGUGGGCAAGUUUCCUACAGUAAGUUUGACCUUCAUGUUGAUACGAGAAAAGACACAGAGGUCAAAAAGAUUCAGCGGGAAAAGGAUAUUGCAAGUUGAGCGUCAAUUAUUAUCUUUUUAUUGUGUGUUGCCAUGGUUGUCAACACCAUGGUGACGGUUCCGUGAGGCUACCAAGGCACAAGUGGUGGUUUGAGCUGAGGAUCAGCUCACAUACAUAAAAUAUGUCUUGCUACAUAGACUUUCUCUGCGAUUGUGAUGAUUUUGUGACCUUUUAGGUCAUCUAUUGGCUCCAACCAGGAGAUGAGUAAACCGGUUGGACUAAAAAUGAACCACCACCAUGUAAUACAUGCAUAAUGUUUUCAAGACAUUUAAUAAAGUAAUCUUUUGUUGCGUUUCUUCUUUUAGGUAGCUUUAUCUAUUGUACUGUGAUAACUCAGUGAUAAAGAGGCAACAUCCUAUUCGAUGAUAUUAAAUCGUGUGUCCUUUAACUGUAAAUUACACCCUCUUGAAAUGAUUUGUCCUUAUUUGAUUUCCCAUAAAACCACAAUCUGCCACACUCAGUGAAAACCUUAAGUAUACAAAACCAGAGACGUUGCUCAUCAUCUGUGAGUCGACAAGGUGUCUACGAUUAAAUGGUUAGAGAGCACAAAUGUCAAACGCGCUGAACGCUUUCGUCCCAGGUUUUAGAGGCAGGUGGGAGAUUAUAUUUUCACUGUCAAGGUCAGCAAUUUGAAAGACGACAAAGUGCAUUAUGCACAGCUCCAUUUGGCUCCCACUAGAUGUGAGAAAAUAAAAUCACCUCACGUCUUGGAUUGUGGCAUUCAUCAAAAAGCCCAUGUGCAGCCAUUUAUUAAGUAUUUACUCUCGGAUGCCAUUUCCAAAAGGUCAAAAGGGGAUUUUUUUCUUUGUCUCCGUGGAUGUGGUUAGUUGUGUCUUUUCUUCCAGUCAUGAGGGAACAAGCCUCGCUGUGUUAGAGGGCAAAGCAAAGUGCAAUUUUUCAGCUCAAGCACUCGGACAGGCGUUUUCUCUCCGUGGUGCAGAGGUUGCGUUCGCCUCCGUUUAGCUUAUCAUUCAUUCAUGUUUCAGAUAACGGUAUAAAUCUCACAGAGGCAACAAAACAGAACGGGGAGGUCACAAGAAAAGUAUUUUGAUGUUUAAUGCACUGCUAAAAUUCACUUUCACACGCAGCCUUUGAUAUUUUUUUUCUCUCAGUCACACCAUCUAAUAAUCAGUCUGUGAUUAUUAGUUCUAAUGUUCUUGUGUCUUCUUGAAGCUUUUCAGAAUCUGACUUUUGCAGCACUUCCCCAGCACUUUAUGUUCCUCACUUGGUUUUCAAACCGGUCGCUGGUUCAACGGAAGCUUCGGUUCACAGGUUGUGGCCACACGCUGGGCGACUUUGGUGCCCAUGUGGCAGUGAAAGAUCGCAUUUCAUUCUCCCACAUCGGAGAAAAGAGACUUUGUCCAGAACCUCAAAUACUUUAAGGCUUAAGAUUUCUCACCAUGGUGAUAAUGUGGUUAAACGUGGUCUCUGUGUGUGUCCUUUGCUUGUAUAACAGUAACUAGUACUUGUUUCUGAUGACUAAAUCCCUCCGAAUCCCUUUUGCAUUUGAUGCUGUGAAGAUGAAUGAUCAGAGUAUAUAAAGUGUUCUUUCUAAUUGUACUGAAGAUUGUUAACGGUAAAUGUUAUUAGCCAAAUUGAUUCCACUUUAUAUUACAAUAAAUUUGUCUAUUUUUUCACAGGGUUGAAGAGUUGCUUUGCUAUUGAUGCUGUAGCAGUUAUUCACAUGCAUGACACAAUAGUUCCCCUCCGUCACAAAGAACCGAAGAAGGCGAGCCCACAUAGAGCGCCAUUCAUCCUCCAACGGCUUCCUGUAAAGGUUAGACUUGAGAGAUAAGGAGGUAUGUGGAGCAGUGUUAUUGUUAUAACAAAGGUAUUUCCUUUUCUCUGAUUGAAAAAUGAUCUGUUGUGGCCUUUCAUGUCAAUAGUAAAUAACAUAAAAAUUCACUGUGAACAACUACUAUGUGUAAAUUGUUAUUUCAGUUCCCUGUUGUGCGUCAGUAAAAGUACGAUGUUUAAAGUCCAGAACGAAGAUUUGUGUCUAGAAAAGAAAACACAUUCAUCCUCAAUUAUUCCCUUCACGUUCCCCUUCAGCAAUUUGUUUAAUAAAACAAAAUAUUGAAUUUUAAUAGUACAAAGAUUCAGCAUAUUGUAGCCCAGGAACGUCUUUAAGAAUUAGCAUGAAAUGAAGCAUGUGAUCCAGGAUAAUCCUACAGUCCGAUACAUUCAGCUAAUCAAAUAGAAUAUGUGGCUUCUAUUGUGAAGCAGUCAAAGUAAACAAAGUGUGUUAUCACCACAAUCUGUCCUCAGUCCUUCCACUUGACCUGCUGUUGUAUGGAGAACAUCCACAACUCAACAUUAGACCUGUUUAUUUUGCAGCACUUUCCCCAACCGAGUAACAUCUACUAGUAACAAGUUGAAUGAGGACUAAAUUCUGAAAGAUUUUAACUUUAAUCGGCUUAUUACUAAUGUAUACUUCCUCUGUCUACACAUACCUGUUUAAAGAUUGGCCUGUUGUUUCAAUGUUUAACCGAUAAUUGCUGCUGAAUAUCAACAGUACUGCACGUUACAAAUAGCAUUGUCUUAAACAUGUCAGCAACAAAAAAAAUAAGCUUCUUUUUAAAGAAAAGGAGAAAAAUUUCCUUUUUGGUGGCCUUGCUAGGGGCUGCUAAUGUUGCUGUUGUGCUAAAAACGUGUCGGAUGUAAUGCUGCAUAUUGUUCAGUUGGACAGCUUGGCGCUCGGACAAAUUGGAAAAAUCCAAGCUGAAAACUUUAUCUUGACUGUAGACUGCGACAUUACUGCAGAGCUCAGUUUCUCCCGUGAAACACUGAUCUUCUCAAACCACUAAUUUGGAGAAUAUGAGAAGGGGGAAAUGUUUCCCAAUGAAAUUGCUCAUUUGCAAGAAACAGAAAGAAAGUGAUUGUAGGAAAUUGCUUUCUUUAGCUGAGUAAACCAUGACAUCGUACUUUCAUUACGCCUUAAUACCGCAUGCUGAAGAGUAAAGGAAUAAUUGUUUUGCAAACAGGUUUCCUGGAAGUUCAGCUCUAGGUUUGUGUUUUGAGUGAACCACUCACAUUGAAGUUAUGGAUGAGAAAGUGACAAUUAUUUAAAUAUAAUUUACAUAAACAAAGCAAACCUUACUAGAUCUUAAACAUUGAUGGUAGCAGACCUCUUUGUGCCGUUAUUUCAUUUACCGAAAUUGUUGAAUUCUAUGUACGCAAAUUCAUGGCCAAUAAAGCUGCUAAUCAACGUGCAGAAACAUCCAAUGGCAACGCCCCUGUCUGGUGGUGGGGUUGAGUUAAGCAUGACGAACACUUGAGUCCGAGGUUAAAAGGUCAAAAGUAGCUUCAAUCUGAUGAAACAACAAAACAAGCAACAUGGUUGGUGCAAGAAUGAAGGACUACGUUGUUUUAAUGGGCUUGUAAAGUGACAAGCGGUGAGAUUGGUGGCAAACACGUUUCAUCACAAUGAAUUCAAUUCAGUCAAGUGACUCCGGAGCAUCAAACUCUGCUGUGACCUCUACGAGUAGAAUCCUUAGUGAGAAGAAAACCCUGAACGUGUUACAUACAUUAACAAAUCGCUGUCAAGUCUGAUGAGGAUCAACCCUUAAAUGCAGAAUACAAGACGGCUCCACAGAUUGCAUUAUGACUGUGGGGACGUUAGUCAGAGUCAAAAAACAAUGGCAGUGCAAUUCAAGCAACCUUGAUGACUCAAAAUGCAGGAGACUGCUCUCUUAUUUGAGGAAGCUGGGAAUUAUGUUGUGAGCUAUAUUUGGCAGACAGGAUGCUGUGCUGAAUAUAAUAACAAUGUAUGCAUUCUCUGGGCCGAUGACAAAUUCUUACGCGGUGCAGAUGUUGAGAUUCCUUAAUUCCGUGAGGAAAUUGGGGACACAAUGGAGCAGAGAAAACAGGACGCGGACUUUAUGCAAAUACGGUUUAGUUCAUGCAAUUCAACACUUUACGGCGACUACAUUCGAUUGUCACAAUCUACAUUGGCAAUCACCGUCUAACAGCGGAGACACGCCUGCAAUAUCAAUCUUUAUCUGCACAAGAUGUAUCCUCCACUUUCUAAAUUGUGUUUCUACUGGAGUGCAUAUUGUGUUAACAACAACUAGGCAGGUGGAUUUGCUUCUCACCUUCUCCAGUUAAUGGCAUGUGAAGUAGGCUGAUUCAAUUCCCAGCGUCCACACCCAGCCGAGUGAACCCACAGAGGGACAGUGCUAAAAGAUUUAUUGGGCAAGAGUGAGUGUGUGUGUGUGUGCGUGUGUGUGUGUGUGCAUGAAAGUUUGUCGUCGUCUUGACGUAAAACAUUUAAGGCAAAAAGUAUAUUCAAGAUGAAACUUUUUUUUUUGCAAUUUUAAGUAGUUUGGUUGAAAUGGUAUAAAAACAAAAAUUAGUUUAUUAAAGACAAAUUAUAUUCAAAGCCAGCUGAUUCAAAUUAUAGAAAUAUAAGCCGAGCCAAACAGGACACAAAUGUAAGUUAUGACGCUGUAGCAACUAAUUCAACUGUAGCUUUUCAAAAUAUAUUUCUGGCAAAAAAAGGAGGUGUAUGAACUGCAAUGCAAAAUAAAUUUUAGCGAUGAUUUAUGACCGGUUCACCUUCUCUUCUAAAUAGUUUUUAGUAUGAAAAUGUAUGUAGUACAUUGAGAUGUAACCAUCUCUAAAUAUUACUCAACUCGUUGCAGUGACCCGUCAUCAGAUGACAAAGUCUGUCAUUUACAAGCCGAUUAUGGGAAGAAUAUGCAUCGCUUCUAGUUGUCACUGCAUGUCUCACAAUUCAAAGUAAUAUGCAGCGGUAUGGAUCUGGAAUGAGAAAAAUAUGACGCAGUUUGCUUGACUUAAUUAUAAUGGACCUAAAGAGGCAUUUAAAAGUAAUUUACAGACUUCCCCUCCACACAAAUCAGGAGAGCCAGAGAAAUGACAGCGGGGUCGGAAAUGUGCUCUGUGAUGAUUAACAAUCGUGCUGAUUCAAGUCGAUGUCUGCGCCACUGUGUUGAACUCUCGGUUGCCAUGUCUCAUUAUCCCCACCCCGCUAAUGGAAGGAAGAGACAAAUAAUUCAUCUGCCCCGACGGUGACAAGAAGCAUAACAGGUCUCCUCGGGGGGACACUGAACAGCUUGACAGUCAGAGGAUGGAGGAUGGAGGAAAUAAGAUCAUCCCAGCUGUCGAGCACGGGUUCAGUUCAAAACCGCUGCGUAACCUUCUUCUUAUGGAAAUUGGGACUUAUGAAUACACGCUGCUCUUUAUUGCCUCCCAGUUUAGGGUAUUUGAAACAAUCCCAAUACCACAAGGAUUACGGUACUUGGAGUUUUCUAAUUGCUGUAAUCUUUAAUCCUUUGUGGGCUUGAGAAGAAACAGCGGUUACCUGGCCAGCAGCUAACGGUGAAAAACAUUAUUAUUAAACUAGAGGGAGAUGCAUCAACUCUUGCUUGAGGUGCAUACAUUUGCAUAAAGAGGGGGAAGUAACUCAGGAAAAUGAUUCAUUAGGAGUUCACACAUACUCAACAGUCACAGUUCGCCGUAUUCUCAAAUUAACAGUUAACAAAUUUAGACGGCUGUUUUUGUGUUUCAGGGUGUGUGUCCGGAUACAUCUGCUUGGUAAUUAUAUUCAAAAACGUUACUGAGAAAGCGCUGCACUGAAAUAUUACUCACGCUGAAUAUCAUCACAGAGUGAGACUGUAUUCUAAAUACUUCCCCGAAGAGGUGAGGAUUCACAACAGAUUUCCUGUCAAAUGUCACCUCGGAAUCAGUAAAUAUUCUCCAAUUAACUUAAAGUGAAAGUCAAACGUCUGAACAAACCUGAGCUUUUCCAGUUAAUGUGCGUCAGUCUUGCUUAAAUACCUGUAUGACGUGUUAUGGACUUUGAUUCUCGCUGCCUGACCUUUGAAAAAAAGAUUUGUUAACGUGACACGGCCGCGUCGCGAGCCAAACCUCCUUUUGUUUCUCCUGAAGUGGCUCAGCGUGACUUGAUGGAAGAAGGAUGAACACGCUCUGUCACUAAAGUGCUUUUCUCCUCAGACUGUGAACGUUUCCGCCACUGGAUGAUCUAAUUUAUUCCUACAGCCUAAAAGACAAUAGAUUCCUGAGCUCAGCGUCGUCUCGGCUGUUCUGCUGUGUGUGUGUGUGCGUGUGUGUGUGUUCACGUGAUUCUGUGUGAGAGCACAAUUGUACUAAAUUUAAUUUGCUUUCUGUACAUGAAUGAUUACGUGCGUGUGUCAUAAAGGAAAGUAUUGCUAGAUCAAAUUGAGGGUAAAAUUUUAAUAUUUAAUGAUGAAGUAUAAGUGCCACACCGGCAUAAAUUCAUUGGCAAUAAAUUGUCGGGAUGAACGGUGGGUCGUUUUAUCACAUGACGUCCAAACCCAGCACACGUCCCCGUAUCUUGGUUUUAAUGUACCAAACAGUUGCACGGAGCAAUUAUUUUGCCGAUUCAAUGCUGCUUGGUGAUAUCCUGCCAACUCACGUUCACGAUGAAUUUAAUGGGAGGAAUUUUGUGUGUUCACCUCACGAUUGACUGCAGACGACGACGCCGCGUCUAACUAAUUCUCUGGCAGAUCAACGUUUAAUGCUACAACUUCGCCAAUAACUUCCACUACGAACUCUCGGAUUCCAAAGACAGCUUACUCAUGUGAGAGGGAAUUGGCCAAUGUUGAAGAUCAUUAUGCCACCAUAAAUUCCGCUUUAUGACUCACCCGAACUCAGUUGGUUUAACAACCAGGCGGGGAAAAGGAAAAAUCUACGCCAUCUUCAAAUGGGCGAUGUGUAGCGAUUUCAAUAGAGACUUAUAACCUGUGUAAACUCAACUUGAUAUAAAGAGCAGGAUUAUGUGUCGAUCAUUUGGUUUUUCUGCCGUGCACAGCUGAAAUUGCAGCUACAACCAAUAUUUCUAUGAUAUAAUGUAUCAAGUAGUAACAUGGAAACAUUCACACUGUCAAGGAGGCCCUCGGUGAGAUGAACCUGCAGAGAAUCAUCACCCGCGUCUGCAUCUCCUCACGGCUUUACCGAGCUCACGGUUUAUCUGUAACGCCAGUGUGACGCUUUACGCUCGUAGACGUCGUUAUCAACCACAACAGGGAACUGUUUUUAGAGGAAUAAGUUAUAAAAAAAACCUUUCUGCUCAGCAGCAAACAGCAGGCCGACACAGUUAGAGCUCAUGCUGGGCACAGUGGAGCAGGCAGCUCCUAAACAGUCCGAUAUUUCCCUCAGGAGCUGGUUGAGAUAAAAAAAAAAAGACAAGCUACAAGUAGCCAGAAAAUACUAAUGAUACUGUUGCUCUUUAACUGCUGGUUGUGUAAAUCACACACUGUCUAACCCCAAUAGUGUAUUAACUCUUGUAUUGUUAUUGCGGGUUUAAUGUCAACUAAGAAUAAAUAAUUUGACCAUGAAUGCCUUGACCCCACUUCUACAAAGAAGGCUUUGGUAGGAGGUGUCUCCGGUUUCUGCAUGAGCGGUUGCUCUAAAUAGGCCACAGCGUGAGGUCUUUUAAGUUUUACCUCAUCGGGAUUAUCAGGAGAGCCUGACCACACAUUGCAGCACAACGUGAAAAUACAACGAAAAUGCAUGAACCCAAUUAUUUGGAUUUGGGACGGAUGGAGAAGAGACGCAGGGCUUGUAAAAACCUGCAGGAUAAAGAGACGAGGUUUGUCGUUACCUCCCUGCGGUGCCGCUGCGUGAUUUGCUAGCUUUCGAGCUAAUUAAACUGCAUAUAAUUUGUGUGAUAACAAUCAGCAAGAGGCGUUUAAGGAAUGAAAUGGCCCUCUCCCUCCUAGAUGCGUGUCCUUAUGAACACACAACUGGAGGAGGAGAUAAGAAUAGAUGUUAAGAGGGCCGGUGUGUAAGAGCACUAAUGAAAGGAUGUGAGGAGAGAAUAAAAUAAAUUGCUGUGUUACCCGUUAGCAUGUUUCUGAUGAAGUUCUAAUUUAACACCAUCUAAGAAAACUGCGUCUGGCGCUGAAAGUAAAGCGCUCUCAAUCUAAUUAUCCUGCAAUGUCUGUCGUAGGUUAUUCAAUUUGAACCGUCACUCAUCUUUUGUUGUUAUUAAAACAACAAAUAGAUACGACAUCAUUACAGCAGCAAGUAAACUCACAUUCCCAAUUCAUAGCCGUGUCGGGUUUACAACAAGUGGAUGUCAUUUAAAAACAUGUCACAUUUAUGUAUGUAUAUAAAUAUAUCACACAUUGUAUCACCCUGUUGUUUCCAUCUGAUUAUCGUUGCUCGAAGUAGUCGUAACAAAUAAUGCAGUACCUGCAAAGGUUUUUAAUGAGAGGGGUAGUUAGUCGGCAAGAAUAACUUGCAUAAUAGAUGUAUGAACAUUUGCAUAUUUUCAAUGAAAUAUGCAAGAGACUCAGACACUGUCCUUGACAAACGGAAUUUGUAACCGAUUCAUAUGUAGUUGUGCACUCUUCAAUUGAUGAUGUGACUUAUUUAACAUUUAGCCUUAUUUACUUUU
ensembl:lncRNA